GGUUGAUACUGGGCUCAGGUACUGUAACACGAGACUGAAGUGAACCAUGUGACCAUAGGGGCGAUGUGAAGAGGGAAUUAAAAAAACUGUUUUACAUAGUUAAACCUAUACAGGUAGUCUACGGUGAUAUAUCAAAAUAAACCCAUUCAGCCAGUAAAACGGCUUUGCGAUCGGAUUUAGUUUGCAGAUUUUUUUCAGACAUUGUUGGGAGAGGUUUAAUCAUAAACACGUCCUAACAUAUGAUCCAGUUUCGGUUCACCCACUCACUCGAUUAGGUGAGGCGGCGGAAGCGAGACGUUGUUUUUUCGCAAGGAGUUGGAUUGAUCCCAGUUGCCUAAAACGGAUAUCAACAUUAUUCGGCGAAAAGAGCGGCCCUGGAGACUGCUUGUGCUGCUGAGCACUACUCCUGAUGAAAUGGCCCCUUGCUGAUGUCCAGGCGUCCUCUUGCUGAUGGUCUACUCUCUUUAGAACCCAUUGGUUUGAAUGGAGAUGGCACUGCUCCCAGACAUGACGGCCUGGCCUGGUCUCCUGGCUGGGAGUGUCCUACUCCUGGUCUUGGGGAGUAAUCCUUCCUGGGUUGUGGGGACCCAACAUUGCAGCUAUUGUGGCCCCGACUGUUAUACUGGGGCUGCUGGCCAUAGCGUCUGCUGUGCUAGUGUGGCUUUUCUGCGUGGUGAGGAAGAAGAGGCAGACGGAGGGGACGUACCAGCCCAGUGCUGAGGAGCAGACGGGGGCCAGCAGUGUUGAGACACCAGACGCACUCAAGCUGCCCAAGGAGGAGAGACUCAUCUGAGCCUAGUCUCUCAGAAGUCUCUCAGCACCUGUCCUGUACAUCCAAGCAACAGCAAAAUCCUGAUGACUGUAGAAGCUCCACCUAAAGAGCUGAUGAUUACCUAGAUAUUAGAGGGUCAUGACACAACGUUGACAGAUACAGGAUGGGACGAGAGGUACACAGCACCUAGCCCUGGAAGAGGAGGGCCCAGGCACUGUGUACUGUACGUACUGCAAGCACAUGGACUAGUGCUAGUACAGAACCCAGACACAGACGUUGGGAUAGCUACAGCAAAUACCACAGCCCGCAACUAGAACAACUAGAUCUAAGGUCCAUGAGGCUCUGACUGCUUUCUCUAUAGUGUGUUAUUUAAUAGCACUGGCAUAUUUGAAUGGGAUAGACAUGUACACAAUCAUUCAAAUGGUCAUACUGGAAGAGGAACCAAACCAUCACCUGCACUAUAUGGAAGAGGACCAGUAUUCAGUCCCUGCUCAUACUCGUCUUUGGUAAAUACAUUUCAGUCUGAGUAUUUCAGUCCUCUGUCGAGGCAAUUUGGCCCUCUCAACAGCUACUAAAAGACUGGAUACAGUCUAACUGCUAUAAUUGUAAGCAGACUGUUGUUACCUGUGCUACCUUGAUACAUGCAAAAAAUAAUAUUGGAAUGUAAUGUAAAUGUUUGUAUAAAUUCCUUAUAGAUGACUUAAAUGUAUAGCGUGCAAUAAUAUUUGUUUAACCACUAUUGAUUGUCAGAAAAGCAUUUAAUUGUCUAGAUUUUUACACUGAUUACUUACCUCAAUACAUGUCUCACUACUGAAUCAGUCCUGUAUCCAGCUUUACAGAUAAUGACACUGUAAGCUAAUAUUAUCUAGAAAACAUUUCUCCCAGUGGGAUAUUCUCUGUUUGCGGAUACUGUGUGCAGAACAAAUAAUUAUAUCAUUAUUAAUAAUAUUUAAGCACAAAAUGAAUGAUUGUUUACAUUUGAAUAAUUGUAUUGUCGUAUUUCAGAAUUGUUACAUUAAUUUAACAUUGGCUGAAAUGUGAUUCAUGUGUGUUCUUACCAGUACGCUGUUUGUAUGUUGCAAAGCCUAUGAUGGGAUUCAAUUCUCAUCAUGUAGAGUUGUUUCACAAUGUCAUGACAUAUUUAUCUAUUGUAGCCUACAUGUUAAAUAAAUACUAAUAGUCAUUUUUAGAAUUGGCCACCUCAGUAGAUUUUCUUUGCAUAAUCAGUGCUGGACUUUGAUCAGAUGAUGUCAAGACUUGCUUCUGUCUCUCUCUCUUUUGAAAACACAACCAGACUUCUAUGAGGAAUUAACGAGAGGGGAAAAACAGAAGACAGAGCAUCGUAUCAGCUGACAUCAUGUAUCAGACAUCCCUAAAAUGACUCCCGGUACCUGAUCAGGUCAUCCAGUGUGUGUCUCCCAGAGGAGGAUCUCUCCUGUCCUGUGUGCUGUGACAUCUUCAGGGACCCUGUCUUCCUACCAUGUAGCCACAGCUACUGGAACACCUCAGACCUCAGACAGUGUCCUGUCUGCAGGAGAAGAGCUUCCAAGAACACUCCUCCCUCCAACCUGGCUCUGAAGAACCUCUUGUGAAGCUUUGCAACAGGGCAGGAUUCAGAGCUCAGCGGAGGGGAACAGUGUACUUUGUAGUCUACAUGGAGAGAGACUCAGAUUCUUCUGUCUGGUGGACAAGCAGCCUGUCUGUGUAGUGUGCCAAGCCUCGAAAAUACACAAGAACCAUGACUGCGUACCCACAGAGAAGCCAGCACAGGAUUGCAAGGUUGAGCUCAACAUAGCACUGAAAACCUUACAGCAUACUCUGGACUCCCUCAUUAGACUGAAGGGAACCUCUGAAGAGAUGCUCGAGCCCAUUAAGAAUCAGGCCCUGGAGACUGUUUUGUGGAACUCCACCAGUUCCUGUAUGAUGAAGAGGCAGCGAGGCUAGCUGCUCUGAAGGAGGAGGAAGAGGAGAAGAAAGGGGUGAUGAAGAGUAUGGUGACAAAGGCUGCAGCAGGGAUGCUAUACCUCAAAGAGACUACAACAGUCAUAACACAGGAGAUGACAGAUGCUGAAGACAUGACAUUGCUCCAGAACUUUAAAGCCACUAUAGAGAGAGCCCAGUGCACAGGGCAGGGUCCAGAGAGGAUUUCAGGGGCGCUGAUUGAUGUGGCCAAGCACCUCUGUAACCUCAAGUACAGAGUCUGGAAGAAAAUGCUUCUGCAUGUUGAAUACACUCCUGUGACCUUGGACCCAAACACAGCCCACCCCUGCCUCUUCCUGUCAUAUCCCUUCAGUACACCAGCCAGCCCCACCGUCUCCCUGACAACCCUGAGCGCUUCCACAUGAGUGCAGAGGUCCUGGGCAUGACCAGGCUUAGCUCAGGAAGCCACUGCUGAGUAGUGGAUACAGGAUGUAACAACGACUGGAUUCUGGGCGUGGCCUGUACGUCUGUCACCAGGAAUAUGGAGGUCCAGGCCUGGCCGGAGAACGGGUUUUGGACCAUGUGUCUGUGAGACAGGGAGUACAGAGCGAUGACCUCACCCCCAACAGCAGCGGUGACAGUCACAGAGAAACUCAAUAGGGUCAGAGUGCAGCUGGACUGGGUCAAGGGCCAAGUGUCUUUCUUUGACCCUGCUGAUGACGAUACACCCCUUUACUCUUUCUCACACAAGUUCAGAGAAAGUGUUUCCGUAUUUUUAUACGCAAAGCAAACACCCUCUGAGAAUCGUACCUGAGGACGCGUGUUACAGUGCAACAUAGUGGGGCAGGACAUCCUUGUACAGUUCCCAACUGAUCAUUUUUUUACAAUAAAUGAAUUUCUGUCAACCUAGAAA